rnacentral:rRNA from 1 species
UUCUGCCAAGGGCAUCGCUGGGUAGCUAUGUAUGGAUGAGAUAAACGCUGAAAGCAUCUAAGUGUGAAGCUCACCUCGAGAUUAGAUUUCCCAUUCCUUUAUGGAAGUAAGACCCCUGAAAGAUUAUCAGGUAGAUAGGUUGGAAGUGGAAGUACAGUGAUGUAUGGAGCGGACCAAUACUAAUCGGUCGAGGACUUAACCAC